CUUCUUCUUCUUCUUCUUCUUCUUCUUCUUCUUCUUUUAUUUCUUCUUCUCCGUCUUCCUUUUCAUCUUCUUUUUCAUCUUCUUCUCCUAUUUGCCUCCUUCACUUCUCCUCCUCCUCUUCCUCCUCCACAUCUUCUCCUCCUCCUCCUCCUUUGGGAUUUACUUGAUCCUUCCCAGAAGAAUCUCUACAAAGAUGUGAUGCUGGAGACCUACUGGAACCUCAAUGUUAUAGGUUCCUAUUGGGAAGACCAUCAUAUUGAAGAACAAGGUCAAACUUCUUGAAGUCCUGAAAGAAUAAUGAUACCUAAAGCCUAAUGCUGGGGAGAAGAAAAGUAGAUGGUGCUUCAGUUCCCAGGCUUGGAGUCUGAGGUUGAGACCAUGAAGGAGAGAGAAGAUGAAGAAAGAAGACUGUGCCAUGGGGCAGGUGGAUUGGCCAGGAGGACUGGCCUGGUGUAUGAGCAGUCUAGGUAGAACAUGGAAAAUGAUAUCUCACAGCUAUUAACAGGAACUAUACAAAAUAGUCAGUCCAACUGCAAUAAUUUAAAUCUUAUUAUAAAUACCAAGUCCUUUGUGCUAUAUUUGGUACCUUUUUGAUUCAAGUGUGGUAAUAAAUAAAUAAAUAAUAUUUACCACAUCAA